GGAUGCUCUGCAGCCUGAACCUCUGCAGGCCAUGCUGUCUGUCACUCACCGUGUCUGCAGCACGGGGCUCCUCCCGCUUCUCUUUCUCUUCGGGGGUUCGAAGCCAAGGUCUCCAGAAGCCCUCGGACCUGCAGGAUGGCAAGCGCAAACCGCGCGUAAAGAACGUGAGCCCGGCCACAGCACACAGCCAGCCCGGCCACAGCACACAACCAGGACCGAACACGGCAAGGGCAGCGGGCACAGGGCGAGGGCUGAGGUGAAGGGUGCUUGGGGAUGAGCCGGGGCCAGGCGGUCCUCUGGCUCCGCGGGCAGCGGGCACGGAGAGAGGAUGGAGCUGUGAACAGAAGUGUGAAGGAAUGGGGCAUCGCCAUGGCUCACUGCUGCUGUUGCCACCGUGUGCCUCCAGACGAUGCUGGCUUCGCUAAUAAUCAGAGGGCAUUUCGUGUUCAUCUCUUCUUCGUGGUUUUAUGAAAACUGUGCAGAUCUUUUUCAGCUGGAAGACCAUAUUCUUCGUCUGAGGUGGCAUUUGCAAGCUUGGGGCGCUGGAGAAUGUUCCCAGGUUGAAGAUGAAGAUAACAGUUGUGACAAAAACUCACUUAGACGUGAGCAGAGCUGGUGUGUGUUGUUUUAAAGCAAGAAGGUGCUCACAGAUGGCUCAGAGAGAGACUUAGCAAGUCUGUGCUAAUCACACUCAUGCAUGGGAAUGCCUCUACUGAA